UACGGAGGGUGCAAGCGUUAAUCGGAAUUACUGGGCGUAAAGCGUGCGCAGGCGGUUUGUUAAGUCUGGUGUGAAAUCCCCGAGCUCAACUUGGGAAUUGCAAUGGAUACUGGCAGGCUCGAGUAUGGUAGAGGAAGGUGGAAUUCCCGGUGUAGCAGUGAAAUGCGUAGAGAUCGGGAGGAACACCAGUGGCGAAGGCGGCCUUCUGGACCAAUACUGACGCUCAUGCACGAAAGCGUGGGGAGCAAACAGG
rnacentral:rRNA from 1 species